rnacentral:lncRNA from 10 species
AAUCCAGAAACUCAGAAUGUGACCUUAUGUGGAAUUGGGGACCUUGCAGCUGCAGAUAGUUAAGAUGAGGGUGUAAUACUUAGAUUAGGGUGGACCCUAAUCCAAUGAUUGGUAUCCUUCUAAGAAGAGAAAGUGGGGGCCAGGCAUGGUCGCUCAUGCCUGUAAACCCAACACUUGGGAGACCAAGAUGGGUGGAUCACUAGGCUGCAGUGAGCCAUGAUUGUGCCACUGUGCUCCAGCCUGGGCGACAGAGUGAGACCCUGUCUCAAAAGAUAAACAAGUAAAUAAAAAUAAAAAAAGAAAAAAGAAACAUACAUACACGACUCUUAAAAUCCACACCCUUUCCCUCAUUUAUGUCUGCAGGGCGAUGGUCACUGUUGUUCUUGCCUCUCCUCUGAGUUCCGGUCUCAUUUAUCCAACAGACAUCUUGACAUCUCCACCUGGAUGUUUUGAAGGCAACUCAAGCCAGUGUGCCUGGGUCUGAACUCCUGACCUUCCUUCCCAAACCUGUAAAGUGUUCAAUGCCAUCCCAGGCUGCCCUCCAUGAGACAGGUGGCAGGCAAUGCCUAAAUCAAGGGGACAUAGUGCACGCUCUGCCAUGGGCAUCUCAGGCCUCUGCCCUCUGGGUUCCAGCCCCUCUCUAACCUGGUUCUCACUUCUCCCUGUCCACUCAUGCUCGGAGGCCUGACUCCAACACCACCCCCCCCACCCCACCUGAGUCCCCGACCACCCCCUGCAACACACUCCCAGUGGGAGCUGAGGGCUUCCUGCUGGGGCCACCCCCACUCCAGGAUUAUUUCAUGCUGGUGCUCUGCUAUUGACUGUUGACAGGUGGGUCCCCCACCAGCCCCGGUGCUUUGUGGGAACAGAGUCCUGGCCCUCUCUGAGCCUGGCCUGGUGCUGUCUCAGAAGAGCCCAUGGUCUGUGCUGAGCCAGUGCAAGAGCAGAGUGGACCGCAGCUUCCUCCUCCACGGCACUCCCGAAGCCCCUCGGGGAGCAAGGCGACCUCCAAGGAGAAACGGUGUCUGGGCGACCCUGAGAGCCUGAGAUGUGGCCUGGGGGUUACCAUGGACGGAAGGGAAGUAGGGGGGUCAGGACGACUCACGCUCUGGUCCUUGUCACUAAAAGUCAGAGCAGCUGAAACUCACCAAGCAUCACUCACAUCAGACACUGGUCUAAGCACCUUACAUGCAUUCUCUAUAUUUUUAUUUAACAAAUACUUACAUCGAGCUUGCCGUGUGGAGGCACUGCUCUAGUUGAUUUACAAAACGAAACAAGAAGCGUCGAAAACACAUCGAAUCAACAAAACACCAUCGUGAAUUCUCGCAACUGCCCUGUGUGGGAGGCACUGCCGCUACCUCCAUCUGCAGAGGGGUAGGGGAGCCUGGGAGCUGGUGGGCGGAGGGCCGGGUGGGGUGGAACUGGCAUCUGCCUCCAGGGCUGGGCUCCUCCCAUUGCUGAUGCCUGGGUUUCACUGUGCUCGUAAAAGCCACGGGUCAAUUAUGCUUAUUACCUGUUCUGCAGGUGAGAAAACGAGGCACACAGGGGUGAGCAAUUCGCUCAGCUUGAAAGUGGUAGAACCAGGACCCAGCCCAGGCCAUGGCUCGGGACCCACUCUGUAAUCACUCACUGGGGGCCCCGCAGUAAUGAGCUCUUUGAAGAAAGGUGAGUCACUGACCUUGGCUGUGCCUCAGUUUCUUCAUUUGCCAAGUGGGGCUCUGCUGCCCCUGCCUCUGCCCUGCUGACUUGCAAGAAGAGUGAACGAAUGGAAUUGGAUGAAGGCUUCCGGAAACUUCCAUCAGGAAAGCGCCCUGGCCUGGGAGAAAGCCGGUCCUGGCCGGCUUUGCCUGCAAUGCCCUCAGUGGCCAGUCACGUCCCCUCCUUGGCCUGCAGGUUCCUCACUGGAGCGGGGGUGGCCCGAGAUGAACCCUCAGAUGCACCAAGCCCCACACCUUGAUUGUCCAGCUCUGUCCUGAUGGACAGGGGAGCUGCCUGCGGUGACUGUCCAGGAACUGGGUGUCUGGAGACGGGCAGACCCAACCAUUUGAGGCUCGUUCUAGGAAGUGUGUUCAGUGUGGCCAAGCUUGGUGACUCUGGGGCUUCUGGAAUGGUUCCCAUGCCAGAGAAUUACAAAAAGAUCCUUUGUACUGAGAAGAGAAAGUACAACUUAUUCUCUUAGGGACACCUUCCUGGAGGGACACCAGACAAGAAGUCCAGGCCCUGGAAUCAGAUGCCCUGGGCCAGGCAGCUUCUGUCUCCCCGAGUUCUCUGCGGAGGCAGCACUCUCAGAAGAUUCCACGGUUUAAUCACACUCCAGCUCUUUUCAGAGCACCUUCUACGUGCCAGGCAUGCUCUAGGCACCAGCGAUGCAACUGUGGAUGAAAAAGACCAAGGCCCUGUUCUCGGGGAGCUGGCGGGGUGGGAGGGGCAGUGAAAAACAAGUACAGCCUGCCCCCGCAAGUACAGUCACAUAGACAUAUGUGUGUAUGUGUGCACAUAUACUUGAAAUAUCAAGUGGCUGGAGGGUUUACUUUAGACUGGGGGAUGUGGAAGUCCUCUCUGAGAUGCGCCCCCUUUGAUCAGAGGCCUGAAGGAAUUAAAUGAGUCUUCCAUGUGCACAUCCAGGGGAGGAAGUUUCCAGGCAGAUGGACCCGCAUGUGCAAAGGCCCUGUGGUGGAGUGUGCUGGGGGUGUUCUAGGAGGGUCAGCAUGGAGGGAACAAGGAGAAGAGCUCGAGCUGAGGUUAUGGAGGGCCUCAUGGGUCAUGGCAAAGACAUCUGGGUCAUAUUCUGAGAUAGAUGGGGUGGGGUUUGGCACAGAGGACUUUAUGUAUUUUGCCUUAAUAUUUUAAAAGGAUCCCUCUGGCUGCCUGUGAGCAUGGAUUGUGCAGGAUCAAUGCAGGGAGUCGAUGUAGGGAGACCAGCAAGGAGGUGAUUGCCACAGUCAAGAAGGGAUGAUGGACGCCCAGGCCUCCGUAUUCGGAGCGGUGUGGCCAGGCGAUAGCAUGGUAGCCAUCAUCACAAGCUAAAGCCAGCAGGUUUGGUAGAUGGUUGGGAUAUGGAGGAAUAAGAGAAAGAGAAGGGUUAUGCUGACUCUAAGAUUUGGCCUAAUCGCCAGAAGGUUGUAGGUGCCUUUUUUUUUUUUUUUUUAAAUGGGAGUGACCGGCUUGGAGGGAAGAUAAGGGGCAUCAGAAACCUGCACAAACCUGCAGGAGUGUGCACUGUGUGACCCUGAUGCCCAAAGGUGACCCUGGGGCCAAGCAGUGUCUCCACCCUUAGUCUCUGGGGCCCCUGCCCACCUGCAGAAGGGACCCUAAACACUAACCUUUGAUUUAAAUCCAAAACAUUCUUCCCUAACGUAAAGUUGCCCAGGGCAGUAUUGGUUUCUCUUUUAAAGACGCCACCUGGAUUCUAUUCUAAUGGUGGGGGUGCAUAUCUAGAAAGGAUGGGCAGCCCCUGCGGGGAAAGAAUGAAUGGGGCCAGGUGCAGUGGCUCACACCUGUAAUCCCAGCACUUUGGGAGGCCGAGGUGGGUGGAUCACUUGAG